rnacentral:miRNA from 1 species
CAUUUAGGUUUGAAUUUCAGAUAAACAAUGAAUAAAUUUUUAGUGUAAUUAUGUCCUGUGUAAGACUUGGGACUUACUUAUACUAAAAGUAUAUUUGCCUUUUAUCUGGUAACUCUACUUGGUUACU